CCCCUGCCGGUGGGGCCGCGUGAGCGGGUUGCCGGACACGGAUCAGACGGUGAGUGCCGUGUCAUGAGAAAACCCCGUCAGCC
rnacentral:sRNA from 1 species